UUUUUUUUUAAAUAGAACUGAGACAUUACUUGGUAACAAGGAAUGUAAAAAUGCCAAGAAUGUGGUAGAAAGGGCUUGAAAUGACCAACCGUUUCUUGCAAUUUGGCUAAGCAGGUGCAUCUCUGUGCUGAAAAGCAGGCAGAGAUGCUGCGAGAACCAAGUCUCGCCCUUCUUUUGGUUGUAAGUACGGUGCCAGUGGUGGAGGUCGGCUGUGGUUGUGUUUUGGGGUCUUUUUGGCUGCACCUGUGGAUGUGGAAGUUCCCAGGCCAGUGCCACAGCAGCGACCAUGCUGACGCCUUCACCCCUGGGCCACCAGGGAACUCUCAUGCUUGUGUUUUAAAUGUUUAACCACCCGUGAAAGUAUUUUGUGAAUUGUUUGGAUAAAGGUUUGUAUUGGUAGAAGAGGGGGGUUUGUAAAAUUCCUUGUGCCCCCUCAAAUCGUUUUGUUAAGUAUGUUGCUCCUGCUUGAGGAUUUUCUUUUUGAUGCUGUUACUAAGGUUACUGUGAAGGUUUUCCAGAGUAAUUCUUGCUAAGCCCAGCAUCACUGCUGUUACAAUGACAGAGGUAAAUUAAUGAGAUUUUUUUCAGUAAUUCAUUGUCUCCUGGUCACACACAGGUCAAAAGCAUGGGCUUUUUGGUUAUUGGCUCCAGGUGAGUGCAACAGUUUUCCAGUGAUUUAAAGUGAAUCUGUGUCGUCUUUUAUUUGUUUCAUGUAAAUAUUCUGUAUAAGUAACACAUAUUUAGCCAUGAAUUAGAUAACCAAACUUUUCACUGGAGAUAUUAGAUCAAAUAAUUUGAAGGUUGUAGUAUUUAGCACCUGUCCGAUAGGACCAUUGAGUUUCUAGUGGGUAUCUGAAUUUCAUGCCUGUUGUUUUUGGUUUGGUCAUUUGUCAUUGAUUUACAGCAAUGAUGCAGAUAUGUAGCUCUUUUCUAGCUUCUGUUUCUUGCGUGGUAUGUUUGUGUAUGUGUCACUGUUGGGUGAAAAGGAUUACAUAAGUGCCGACCUCUGAGUAAGUUUAAAUUUUUAGCGUUUGGCCAGUGAUUAGUCAUAGAAUUGAGUUUCCCCGAAUUACUCUGAUGAGGAGUUUUCCGUGUUUAAUAUGCGCUUCCGUGUUGCCUGUUGAUGAAAGGAGAAAGUAAGCUACUUUAAUUUCUUCUGGGAAGAAUUCUUUUGUAAUUUGGCAAAACAGAAGAAUCCCUCUGUUGAAAGGCAUGCAGAGAUGCUGUGAAAACCAAAUCUUGCCCUUUUUUGGGGGGUUGUAGGUAAGGUGCAACCAAAGCUUGAAAACUUGAAAAACCUGGCCGAAGUCCUCCUGCCUGGUGGGUUGAGGAUUUGGGGGGUGGUCAGCAGGGAAGAGGUGGGCGCGCUGACCUGUACACACCUCCCAUCGAAAAGAAAUUGGUGGCUUUCAGAAGAGCUGUGUCAUCACGGGCAAGGCCCUUCAGGCCCGUGGUGGCCCGAGCUGGCCUUCAAUUCCCCCCAGAGGCAGCAUCCUGCCUCCCCGCGCUGCUGACCCCGCUCCCUCUGUGGGGUGCCCGGCCUGGGCCUGGGCCAGCUGAGAACCCUUUCUCCUUUGUGCGGAGCUAAACCUCCACUGUGAGGGCCUCCGUUUCUGAGGAUGGCUGCACGUCACGGGGACCCCAGACGCUUCCUGUGUUACUGUGGGGUGGCACUUUGUGGAGGGGUUCGCCUGGGGCGGGAGGAGGAGGGGCCCAAGGAGCUGCAUCCUGGCAGCCUUUGCUCCAGCCAGCCCUCUGCGCGUCCUCUGGGCGUCUAGAAACAGGCCCCCAUGGGGCUGCUCUUUGCCCAGGGUUGGAGAUUUGGGGAAGUGGGAGCGCAGAGGCGGGCACAUCUGCCCUAAAUCCCCACCUUGAACGUGGUGGUGUGUUGCUGCUAGACGCACGGGUUUUGAUUUUCUGCAGGUGCCGCAAGUCUGGGCUCCCGGCCGGGCUGUGAGGGGAGUGGGCGGUGGGGCCCUGCCGAGUGGCCCGUGUGAGAGCCCCGGGCCCUCCUGCGCCUCCAGGCUCUCGCUUCACCGCCCGAAAAUCCCUCUGAUGGCGGAGCCACGGCUUGGCUCUGUUGGUUCCAUCUGUUUGUGGCGCCUUUCCAAAUUCUCCGGCUCUCAGGUCCUCCCGCAGCGCAAACGUGCUGUCACACAGCAGUUGGGUAGCUGUUCUCGCCUUUGUCAUCUUAGAUUUAUCUUUUACUAAUUUUCUGCCUGUGUGUCAUGAAAAGCUCAUUUUGAUUCAGUGUACUUGGAUUGGCUGUUUUUCUUUACCCUUUUUUAUGUUUAUCAAAACAUUUUUGAUUUCAGCCCAUAGGGAGAAAGAGGUUCGGCAGACCUAUAUAAGCAUCAUUUACUCUUGGUAGGGAGAGGUAUAAAAUCCCAUCUGUUUUAUUGAACCAGAAAAUGGUGGGGGGAGUUCCCUGGUAGCUCAGGGGGUAAGGAUCCCACCUUGUCGCUGCUGUGGCGUGGGUUCGAAUCCUGGCUUGGGAACUUUUGUAUGCCUCAGGCACAGCCCCCCCCCCCCCAAAAGCAAGAAAAGGUUGUGAUCCACUGGAUUGAUCUCACCUCCGCUCACGAGUGUGACAGUUUAAAAGCCAAGUUCUCCAGCGUUUCUGCCCAGGCACUUCCUGAAGGGCGUCUUUGGCUGCGGGAGCCUGUUUGAUGAUGCCCGCAGCUCCGGCUCCGGGUAUGGAAAUGGCUCGUGCUUUCGCAAGCAUGUGUGCUGUCUUUGAUCUGGUUUCCAGGGGCGCGGGCGCGGGGGCUGUCGGCCUUCGUUUCUACUCCGGUUUCUUGUUUGGGAGCUGGAGGCUGGUCUCCCCCGUGGUCUUGCUCGGGGGCCUCCCUGACUGCGCAACAGUCACGCCUCGGCGCGUCCACAUCCCGGCGGCUCUUCCUGCGCCUCCAGAACUUUUCUUGGGUCCUGCUUUGAUCUUCAGGAAGCCUUUCCUGCCGCCUUUGGCAGCUCUCCUCUGGCUUCCGACCUGGUCUGACCCUUUUCGGUAUUAAACUUGGAACGAUGAGUGCUGGCUUCUAAGAUAUGACUGGAAAUGCAGAAGUGGGGGGAAAUAUUACAUUUUCUCAUAUUUGUAUUAAACACAAACUAGUUUAAAGAAGGAAAAGCGACCCUCCGUAUCCGUGGGUUCCAAGUCCAAGGACUGAAGGUAUUUGGGGGAAGAAAUCCCGAAACGUUCCAAAAAGCACGGCUUGAAGUGGCUGCGUGCUGGCAACUGUUUGCGAAGCACUUGCUCUGCAUUCGGUGCCGUAAGUAACUAGACCUGAGCCGAAGUGCGCGGGGGCUGUGUGGGCAGCUCGCUGGGGGUGCCCGACCGGGUGCUGGAAGGACCUGAGCGUCCUCGGGGUUCUGUCCGUGCCCAUCCCGGAACCCCUUCCCACACACCCUCCGGGACGUCGGCGUUCUUGCUCAGGACACUUUCUGCAUGAGAUGUUCAUUCUUCAGCAUUUUCACCUUUUUUUAUUUCUUGCUGAAAUGUAUUCAGUUCACUGUUUUCUUCAGCGGUAUAUACUGAACAUAAUUAGCUUUUCAAAAUAGUUAGCUUUUUCUUUUUAAGAUCCCCAGUCUAGCUUUAGACCAUGGAGGCAAUUUCCUUAAUUUACUCUCCCGAAAACAGUCCCGGGUGUCAGUUUGCUGUUGUGUAAUUGCUUCUUUCUCAUGAGGGCAGACCACGGGGCAGUCGGAUGUGUGCUUUCCGGGGUCGACUGUGUGCACGUGGUUUAACCAGGAGCAGCCGUCCCCCAAGUGGUUUUCUUUUUCCUUGUUUGCAGAUGGUAUCUUCACAACACGGGCACCCGUAUCAAUAGAUGAAAGGUAUCCUUGCACUUCGAGCUGCCUCUUCGUUCCCUUGGCUGGUUCUUCUCGGCAUGAAAGAGCAGCAGUUGGUUCCCCAGCGUUGCAGGGACCGCGAGAGGCAGGUUGAGGAGGCCUUGGCUCCUCCGCGGGACUCUUUCUGCAGAGGUGCUGCUCCGCUUUCAUCCAGAACUUGGUUAACGUCGGCCCUGGCACAGCCGGGGCGGCUGUUCAUCCUUCCGGUUUCUGGAAGACUGGAAGAGCCAGUAGCGUCGCGCCCUGCGGGGAACGUGGGGGUGGGAGGUGCUGAGGUGUCAAGAACACGGUGUGAGACGAUGGAGAAAGGUCUCUCUCAGAGCCCCACAGUGGAGCCAGUCUGCCUGCGUUUUCUCCUGUGAAACAAUGCUCCCUAUUUCUAAAAAAAUUUAGUUUCAAUCAGUGGCAUUAUAUAGCAUUAUAUAAAAUGUAUCAGCAAUAUUAACCUUAUUUCUCAAGCAAACAUUGAGUUUUUCCCCCCCGAUGAUUUAUUUAAGACUCUUGGGUUUUUUUUUUUUUUNNNNNNNNNNNNNNNNNNNNNNNNNNNNNNNNNNNNNNNNNNNNNNNNNNNNNNNNNNNNNNUCCCCACCUCCCUGUUGUCAGCGCCCCCAGAUGGCACAGUUGCCACAGCUGAGGAAGCUGCGUUGACACGUCAUAAUGCCCUCGAGUCCGGAGUUUUCAGGUCCCUCUUGGUGGGCAUCCUGUAGGUUUGGACAUGGGUAAUGACAUGUCCUUUGUUCUGUUUACUGACUCCAUAGUUACCAUUGAGUUUUUUACUUUCAAUUGUAAUUUUUAUAUUUAGAAGUUUUACUUGGUUCUUUAAAAAAGUCUGGUUAGGCUUUAAAUUCUCAUCUUUGUUCUUAUAAUCAAGUCUGUUAUUUCUUGGCACGUGUUAAGCAUUUGUUUUGUAGCGUAUCUGAAAUACUUAUGAUAUUUAAUAUCUUGAGUCUCAUCCUGCUGUUUGUGCUUCUGGCUUUUAUUCAUAGUGCUUUGCUUCCCUGUUGUUGUAUAUGUGUGAUUUUUGAUUGUGACCUCAAAUCUCUUGACGUUUUAUUUGGGCAGAUUCAUUAUGGGGUAGAUCGAAUUUGUCUUCUAGAGUGAAUUUAUAAUUCUGUUUUGUGGGGGGUGAGGGCACUGUCAACUCGGGGUCUCUUUGAAUUUCAUAUUCUCUUUUUUGUUUGUUUGUUUUAGGGCUACACCCAUGGCAUAGCACC
ensembl:lncRNA